rnacentral:rRNA from 1 species
UACGAAGGGGCUAGCGUUGCUCGGAAUCACUGGGCGUAAAGCGCACGUAGGCGGAUUGCUAAGUCAGGGGUGAAAUCCUGGAGCUCAACUCCAGAACUGCCUUUGAUACUGGCGAUCUUGAGUCCGGGAGAGGUGAGUGGAACUGCGAGUGUAGAGGUGAAAUUCGUAGAUAUUCGCAAGAACACCAGUGGCGAAGGCGGCUCUCUGGACGGUACUGGACGCUGGAGACGCGGAAAGCGGUGGGAGCGAA